rnacentral:misc_RNA from 1 species
GUUUUUACUUUGCAUCGGACUCUGCGGCUUAGGUUUCUAUCGGAUCUUCGAAACCCUAACAAUGGCGGAACAGACGGAGAAGGCUUUUCUGAAGCAGCCCAAGGUGUUUCUUUGCUCGAAGAAAUCGGGGAAAGGAAAGAGGCCAGGAAAAGGAGGAAAUCGGUUUUGGAAGAGCAUUGGUUUGGGAUUCAAAACUCCGAGAGAUGCAAUUGAAGGAACCUAUAUUGACAAGAAGUGUCCAUUCACCGGCACUGUUUCUAUUAGGGGGCGUAUACUUGCUGGUACCUGCCACAGCGCCAAGAUGGUGAGAACCAUCAUUGUAAGACGUAAUUAUCUUCAUUAUGUGAAGAAAUAUCAAAGGUAUGAAAAGAGACACUCUAACAUUCCAGCACAUAUAGCUCCUUGCUUUAGGGUUAAAGAGGGAGACCAUGUUAUCAUUGGCCAGUGCAGGCCGUUGUCUAAGACUGUGAGGUUUAAUGUAUUGAAAGUGAUUCCUGCUGGAUCAUCCACAGGUGGCAAGAAGGCUUUCACAGGGAUUUAAGUCCAGAAUUUUCAGGUGUCCCAUAUUUGUCUAUGUCAAGGGGAUGAUAUGUUAGCAUGAGCUUUUCUUCAGCUAGAUGAUCUUUUCACUUUAUUUAUUAACCGAAUAUUUCAUUAUUGUGAUACUAUUGCAAUUUUGAUUCCCUAAGUUUUGCUUUAUUCAUCAGUAACAGUACCUUCCUUGUU